UACAGAGUAGCUCAGUUGGUUAGAGCAGUUCCUUCAUACGGAUCAGGUCAUGAGUUCGAAUCUCAUCUCUGUAA
rnacentral:tRNA from 1 species